ACAACGGCUAACGAAUCAUAGCCCAAAUCCAACUUGGAAAAGGACCACCUCGUGGCCGCUUAACCGUUCAUUCUCUAACAAACCCCUAUAAAUAUCCCCAACUCCCCUCCAACUAUUCCCGCCCUUGUCGGUUUCGUUCUUCAUUAAGAAUCAUCGAGCGCGGUUUUCUGCAUCGGUUUUCUCAAUUUUGAAGGUUGUGAAAUUAGUUAAAUUGAGUUGGAGAUUAAUAUUGGAAUUGUUGAUUGACGUAGAUUCUGUGAUUUAUUCAUGAUUGCUUUAGGUGGUAGCUCUGGUAUUUUCCUUCCUGUGAAUGUUUCGAAAAUCACCUUGUUGUAGAAUUGGCCGAAUGGGGGAGAGAAAAGCUCUGUUGGAUGGAUUUGAAUGCGGUCUGAAAUUUGGGAGUUCUUCUCUAAUCCCCUCUUGGUCUUGGGUUGUUCUCAUCUUUGCUUGAUAAAAUCACCGCUUUUAUUUUAUGGAGUCACUGUUGAUGUCUUGAUCUUAGGGGAUCUUGGAUUCAAGGGUUUUGGUCAUGAUCGUUAUCCUCUUCUUCUGGUUUAUAAAAUCUUGGGAGAGUUUUCUUUCCCUACUUGCGGUUUUGUGCUGUUUUCCUGAACAAUGAUUGGGAUUUUUUUUUUUUGGAUAAUAAUGAUUCAAAAACCAUAGGAGUUAUCUAACGUACAUGACUUUUGUUUGGCAUUCCAGUUUAUCGGACAACAUCACAUUAUCGUAUUGUUGUUGAUGCUUAGAGAUUGGCCUUGCUUUUAGAAUCCGAGGAGAGAAAAUAUGUUUUGAUUGAAUGUGCUCUAAAAUCGGGAAAUUUGCCACCUUUUAGGUAGUUAUUAUUAACUGGCUCUACAUGUUGUCUUGAUUGUAGGGGAGCUUGGAGUUUUGGUCAUUGUCGUUACCCUGCUAUAUUGGUUAAUGAGAUUUCGUAAAGUGUGCUCUUUCCCUGCCUUUUUUUUAUUAAUUUUUUAGAGCUGUUUUUCCAGAGGACUGAUAGGGGACAUUCUGGAUAUGAUGAUUGAUUUGCUCUGCAUCUACCUCGUUAGGAUUGAAGGAUUGAACAACUCAAGUUGUAUGUUUCAAAGGAACUAUUUAACUUCCUUAACAUGACUUUGGUUGCUGGAAUCUGGGUCCAGAUGACUCAGAGGUUUGAUGACAACUUACGUCUCUUGUCCAAGAUCAAAGGCUUUUUGCAUUGUUAACGAAGGGAGUACGCACUAUUUCUUCCUUUUUGCUUGAGCCAACUUAGUGGUUUUGACACCUGUAAAUAUCUAAUGCCCCUGCCGGGCCCACCCGCCGGGUCCUUUAUGUUAGCAUCUUGGUAUUGAGACCUGUAUCUUCUAAUGCAUCCAAAGGCUUUUCUUCUUCUUCUUUUUUUUAAGUAACUUUUUUGCUCAUGCAUUUCUUGUUUUUGGCUAACAAUACUUUGUUUAAAGUUGUACUGAUUAUUGGUCUUGUUCCAGGGAUUCCCCUUCAUCCCAACCUCUUUAGUUCUGUUUGCUCUAAGAGCUGUGUAGUGGGCCCUGUUUGGAAGGAGUUCUGUUUCUCUGCCUGUAUACUUGAAGGUCGUCUCUUUAGGCAGGUGUGGAAUUUCAAGUUUUGCAACAUUGGGUUUGUCAUCAUUUUUGACAUCAGCUAACUUUAUUGUUAUGUUAUCUCUAUAAAAUGAUAGAGUUGGGGGCACAACUAUCAGCAUUUAAACAGUAUGCGAAGGAGAGCUGUCCAAGGGAUGUGACAGUUUAAAGUGUUUGAAAGUAGUUCUGAACAUUUCUAUGCUGAUUACUGUUUAUAACUAUCUAUAUUUGAAAGCCAACAGUUUCAGGAUCAUUUGACUCCGUAUACUUGUGGAUUUUUGGCAAUUUUGAGCUGUUGUAGUGGUAUCUCAGGGCUUCCUUCUUCCAAUCAAAGCUUAUCUACCUUGUCUUAGACGAGUCCUCUUCCACCUUGAGCUAAUUGCACCUAAUUGUUGCUGAACUUGGUGGUUUUGGGAAUAUUUUAAAUGUCCAUCUCUAAUCUGUUCUGUAGUGGCCUGGAUUCAAGAUUGAUCGUUAAGUACUGUAGCUGUGAAUUAUCUUCAACAUGAUUCUUGAGCCAAAAAGUUGAGCUGUUCUUCUCUUUGAGUACUUGGUGUGGCAGGUUUUCUUGACCAACAGUGGACAGUUUUUGGUUAGUUAUAAACCCUUUCUGUCCCCUACUUUGAUGAAGAAGUUUGCGUGGCUAAAAUGUCUGAAAAAAGUUCUCAACACCCUUAUGCUUAUUACUUCAAUUUGAAAAUUGACAGUUUUUGGAUUAUAGGUAAUGAAUAUAUAUUUCUAUUUUAGGGUCUUGGUUUUGGGUCAUGCUGUUUCUUGUUGACAUUUUAGGCUUCCUAAACUUACAUCCCUGCAGGAGAUCCUUGAAGGAGUUUUUCUCUUUCCCUACUUCAAGUUAGGUUUUUUUCCAAUUCUAAUGAAUAGUUUAUGGUUAGCUAAGUCUGUUUAUCCAUCUUCAUUUUAGGAAGGAGCUUGGAAUUUUAGAACUUACUGGGUUAAAGUGAUUGAAAGGUGUUCUCUGCUUCUUUGGAGCAUUACAUUUUUUUUGGAAAUUAGCAUGAAUCAGGUUAUCUGUAAGGACUUUUUGUGUUUAUUUUACGAUCUUGGGUUUGUGUCUUCCUGUUUUCAUUGAGAUUCUUGCUUCCUUCUUCUGAGGCUAACACUAUUUACAUUGUUUUGAAGGAACUCUUUUCUGCCUCAGACUAAUUGAUCCUCUGUGCUUGAUCAAUUAUCGUUUUCUAUUGAUGUUUGAUGUCUUCUCUCUAUUGUUGGAACCGCAAGAUGGGUGUUGUGCUUGAAGACCUCCUAGGCUUUUUUAUCUGCUUCUUGAUUAUUUGGCGAAUUCAUUCUGCUGUUUGGUGUGGCAUUAAAAUUUACCUAUCUGCCUGAUGUUGCAAGAGAAAAUGGGAAUUUCUGGUCUGUCCCUACUUUCCUUCUGAGCUUUUCUUGAUGAAAUAGUGGAUAGUGUAUCAGGAUAACAUGUCAUCUUCAUUUUGGAAGGAGCUUGGAUUUGGUGAGCUCGGUGAUGUCAUUAAAAUAAUGAAAGGAGGUCUCUGCUUCCCUAUGUGUAUUACUUUGUUUGAAGAUUAACAGUUUUGGGAUUUUCUGUAACAACUAUAUAUCUACAUCUUUUGAUCUUGGGUUUCAACCAUGCUGUUGUCAUUUAGAUCUUGGGGCUUUCUUUUGUCAAAGGCUAUUUACAUCAUUGAAGGUCAAACUAAUUGUUCGUUUGUUUUUGAUCAGUUGUUGGUUUUGGGGAUGUGAUUGACGCCUAUGUUUCCUCUACUGCAGCAGCUUGCAUUCAAGUGACAUCCCAGGCUCUUUUACCUGCUUUUGAUUUUUUUGUUGAUUUCAUUCUUUCAUUGGAGCUGGUUUCUUGAAAAAUUAUUUUUAAUUAUUUGGGGUGGCAGUGAAUUCCACUGUGCUUUAAUGUGGAUAGAAUUGCGAGUCCUCUGUUGUGGUCUACAUGCUUUUGCAGGAGAACCGGAGUUUUUUUGCUUUCCAUACUUUUCUUGCUAGGUUUCUCUGAACAAUAAUGGAUAGUUUCUGUAAAAUUUGAGAGGCUUCAGUCAUCAUCAUUUUAGACAUUGAAGCAAGUCAGUGUGCAGUUAUAAAGUGAUUGAAAGGAGUACGUGUAUUACUUUGUCUUGGGUUAUCUGUAUCGCAUUUGCAUAUUUGUUGUAGGAGUUUCAAUUGGUUUGAGCUGUUGUAGUGACAUCCUUGGUCUCCUUCAGAUUAAAGGCUAUCCACAUUGGUUUGAAAGGAAUUCUAUUCUGCCUAAACUAAUUGCUCUUAUUAGUGCUUGACAAUUGACCAUUUUUGGGCUGUGGUAGCAUCUGUGUUUGUAUUCUAGGAGCUCAGGUUCAAGAUUGGCCUCAUGGUAAAAUCUCUGGCUGUUUUAUCUGCUUUUGAAGCUGGUACUGGUCGGCAUAGUUUCACGAAUAAUGUUCAUUCCUGGUUAUGUGGUGUGGUUAUGAAAUGAUUGUUUGUUCUGAUGCAAUUACUAAUUGCAGUUCAUCAGCUUAAGUUAUAAAUAUAUGUUUUUUCCUGGUCUAUGAAUUGGAAUUCAUUGGUCGAGGACUAGCUAUUUUAGUUUCUAUGGUGUAUUUAUAGCAGCAGGUCCUGUUUUUGUUGCUGCAGAGAAUACACUGACUGGACACUACUUGCUUUGCCAACACCUUUGAUAUACGCAGUCUUAAUGUUCAUAACAUAUGCUUCUGAAUCUGUUGGACCCUGUAGAUUGCCAGGUUGAUUGAUGAACUGUCAAUUCUACUCUUUCAAGCACUUGUUACAAUUCUUGUUCUGCAACUUUUAUAGUAGUUUUCAAAAUUUUCAAAUGAUCUUCUGGAGGGUUUCCCUUGGGUUUGCAGGUAUGGGAACUUGUUUUGGCUUUUUGCAAAUCUUGCGAGCAAUACUAUUGAGGUCCGUCUAAUGCCCUGUUUCUCUUUGUUUGCACCACAUAUCUUCAGAAUUGUGGGUUCAGCUAUAAGAAAAUGGUGGUCAUCUAUUAUAAUUGUGGAACUUCUAAGAGGUUGUUGUGUUAGUAUUUGAUAAUCUACACUUCUGUUGGUGGUCUAUCAUGUCAUGUUGCUUUGCACACAUUUGUGGUUCUUCUCCUGCUUGUUUGGCUGAAUAUGCAUAUUUAAAAGAGCUUUUAAAGUUGAAGAAGUGAAGGUUUCCUCUUACUGAGGUUAUUUUUACUGUUCUCUUUUUCCACUUUCAAAUUUUCUGCUUGCUCACUGUUUGGAGACACUGAUUCAAAGGCCAUUUCAUUUAAUUUUUCCUUCCUUUUCUGGAAGCUAUAUGGGCUAUAUGUUGCUUAAUAUUUGCGUGAAUUGUUUAUCUUCAGAUGUCUGAACCUGUUCUAUACCAUGUAGCUCUUUAUGUUUGCAUCCCCUUGUUAACUUCACGGUUAGUAAAGGUUUUUGAGAGUUUCAUGCGGCAAUGCUAAAUUCAUUUCUAUGGUCAUUCAGAUGCUAUUUGAGCACUACAGUUUUCAAUACAUAUGCAUCUGGUUUUUCCAUAGUUAACCUGUGAAGGUAUAUAGGUAGAAUGAGUGCUAGCUGCUUUGUCUCCGGGGACAUCUGGACAAAUGUCACAGAAAAGGAAAAUACAUAUAGCAGAAAGUGACUGUGUCAAAUUUGUUCAAGAAAAUAGAAAAGAUUCAUAAGCUUUCAAAUUUGUUCAAAUAAUGAGUGAAAGAUUCAUAAAGAUUCAUAAAGGGUGUUUGUGCUAAGGUAGCACUAUUGGUCUGCUAGUUGAUCUGCUUAUUCUAUAACACUCUUAGCCAGAAUUCUGUGCAUCGACAGCCUUUGGUUUAGUUACUGGUUUCCAACACCUCAAUACAGCUUUUGGUUUCGUUACAAAAUUUUGGGGGAGUUUUUCUUUCUCUUCUUCUGGUUUUGUGCUGUUUUCCUGAAGAAUGAUUGGGUGUUCUUUUUUUUUUUUUUUGUUUGGAUGAUAAUGAUUGAAAAACCAUAGAUGUUAUCUAACAUACAUGACUUUGUUUGGUAUUCCAGUUUAUCGGGCAAUUUUGGCAUCAUAUUACUGUAUUGUUGUUGUUGCUUAGAGAUUGGCCUUGUUUUUAGAAUGGCGGAAUUCUGGCCUCCCAAGGAGAGAUGUUUCUUUGAUGGAUGUGCUCUAGAAUUGGGAGUUUUUUUUUUCUCUCUCAUACUCUCCACGUUGUUCUAAUUUUUGCUUGAAAAGUUUGCCGCCUUGUAGGGAGUCAUUAUUAACUGGCUCUGCAUGUUGCCUUUGAUUGUAGGGGAGCUUUGGAGUUUUGGUCAUUGUCGUUACCCUGAUUGGUUCAUGAGAUUUCGUACAAGUUUGCUCUUUCCCUACUUUUUAUUAUUUUUUUAAAUUGUUUUUCCUGAGGACUGGUUCAAACCUUCUGGAUAUGAUGAUUGAUUUGCUGUGUGUCUACCUCGUUAGUAUUGUACGAUUGAACAACUCGUGUGUUUCACAGGAACUAUUUAACUUCCUUAACAUGACUGUGGUUGCUGGAAUGUUGGUCUAGAUGAUUCGGAAAUUUGGUGACAACUUUAUGUCUCCUGCCCAAGAUCAAAGGCUUUUUGCAUUGUUAAUGAAGGGAGUUCACAUUAUCUCUUCCUUUGUGCUUGAGCCAACUUAGUGGGUUUGACACCUGUAAAUGUCUCUGUGUCCCCUCUUUGUGCUAUGACCUUGGAAUUGAGACGUGCAUCUUCUAAUGCAUCUAAAGGCUUUUCUAUCUCUCUCUGUGUUUUUUUUAAAAGAAACCCUUUUUUCUCGUGUAUUUCUUUCUUGUGUUCUGAUAAUACUCUGUUUAAAGUUGUACUGAUUAUUGGUCUCGUUCCAAGAGUUCCGCUUCAUCCCAAACUCUUUAGUUCUGUUUGCUCUGAGGAGGUAACUGGCAUCAUCAGGUCUUGUUCAAAUAGAGUGUGUGAAUUCGAUUGUUUUCGUCCUGUUGUUACCUGUGCAUUUACAUUCUGGAGAGCUUCUUUUGUCAUAUGCAUCAUGAUGAUUAGCGUGGCUUCUGAAUGGCUUCAUGUUAGGAGCUUAGAUUGAAGAACUCAUCUGUGUAGUGGGCGUUGUUUGGAAGAGGUUCUGAUUCUCCAUCUUUAUUACUUGAAGGUUGUCUCUUUAGCCAGCUGCGGAAUUUCAAGUUUUGCAAUGUUUGGUAUGUAAUCAUUUUUUAUGGUUUUCUCAUAGAUGACAAUUUGUUAUUCAAAGAUUUGAGAUCAGUUAACUCUAUUUAUAUGUUGUUUCUAUAAAAAUGAUAGCAUUGGGGGUACAACUAUCAGCAUUUAAACACUAUGUGAAGGAGAGCUAUCCAAGGGAUGCGACAGUUUAAAGUGUUCGAAAGUAGUUCUUUAUGUCUCCCCGAUGAUCACUGUGUAUAACUGUUUGAAAACCAACAGGUUCUGUGUCAUUCGACUUUGUAUAUUUGUGGUUUUUUGACAAUUUCAGGCUGUUGCAGUGAUACCUAAGGACUUCCUUCUUCCAAUCAAAGCUUAUCUACCUUGUUUUGAAGCAGCCUUCUUCCCCUGAGAUGCUCCGUUGGAAUGGUUCGGGUCAUUGGGUCGAUCAGAGAGCCAUGAAUUCCUUUCCUUUCUCAGCUCUUACAGCUGCAUUGUUUGAAGCUACGAGGAGAACGCUCCCCAGAAUGAUGAUUAGCUGGUUUAUCAUGGUUGUCUCUUCCAAUGCAGGUUGAAUUCCGAGACAAAUUGGCAGUUUACACAGCCUCGGAGGUAUUGUUCCAUUUUCCCUCCUUUCCUAGGAUUUUCUGAUCUGCUUUCUUCUCUGCCUUCUUGCUUCAUCUUUGUCCUGCAGGUUCUGUUUGCUUUCAGUGUUUUCUCCUUCUUUUCUUCUCCUCUGUCCGGCUUUCUUGCGAACUCAUCUCCGUGUAAAUAUAUAUUUCAAUGGAUUUCAUUUGGUACCUCCGGACCGAAGCAUUCUAUCUCAACUAAGAUGUCUGGCCAGUUUUUGGGCAAGCCUAAAACUCACACCGCACAUUGCGCGCGGUGUUCACCUCCCAGUUACCUUCUAAAUGCGGUUUACCAACUACCAAGAGAUAACACUGUCCAUCUUCAAAACAUUGUUUAUUUUCUGGUUAUGGUGUGAUUAUGAAACAAUGGCCUAGAGGUGAUCCUUGACAAAUUAAGUUCUAUUUUAUUUAGAAAUCCUUGACAGAUUUACUUCUCAAAGCCUUGUUUAUCUUCUGGUUAUGGUAUGAUUUUGAAACAAUGGCUAGAGAUGAUCCUUGACAAAUUUAUUUAGAAAUCCUUGACAGAUUAACUUCUCAA